AUGGCAGCUCUAUCUUUGUCUAAGCAAUGGAAAGGAAAAAAGGAAUCAGUCGUCCACAGCAGGAAAGACACCUGGCCAAAGAUGAGGCUGCUAACAGAGAGAUGUGCAAUCAGGCAAGGGCAGCCUGAAGAUAAGUCAAAAAAGGAAAAGAAGAAAAUAAUGGGAAGAACUCAUGCAAAAUGAAAUACACAGAUCCAGGAAAACAACAUACACCAUAACUAUACGAACAAUUGAAACUGAAUGCUGAGAAAUUAUAACAAGCAAGCCUGGCCCCAAAUAAGAGGCAGAAGAAGGCUCUUUCAGGAUAAAACACCAGACUUUCUUAAUAUUUUGAUUUGCUUUGCUUUGUUUUUUUUUCUUAUUUUUUUUCUUCUGUUAAAAAGAAUGGCUCUCUGGGAUAGAGGG
rnacentral:lncRNA from 1 species